AUGAAUACGAUUCUGAACUUAAUAAAUAAGAAGAAGUUGUUGAAUGACCCUAUUAUUGGGACAGAAGGUAUUUGCUGUUGCUGUUUGUCAAAAAAAAAAAAAAAAGCCAGGUGUAAAUCUAAGUGUAUGUUUGCCGACUUUUUGAACUCAAUAUACUGUUAUAAAUUUAACAACUUCGUGCUUGUGUCAAUUUUUUUACUCCAGUUAUGUUUUAGUACCAAUGUGUUCCACGAUUCUUGCUCUUUGGAUAUAAUUCACAGUCCAAAAUUCCUGCCACAAAGUCAAUUUAUUAAUAAAGAUAUUAACGGUUUCCUAAUCACAGAAAUUUAUGCCCUGCCGCGAUUUGCGUUCUUGGACACGGCGUAUAACUUGUAACCCGAUUAUUUCAUGCCCUUUCGAAUUCUCGUAAUCAAUCUCUAUUCUCCAUAGAUGAUUUUGUCAUCUUAGAGCUGCAGAGUCAUUUUAGAAUACUCGGAAGAAAUACGAAAACCGAAAUUUGAAACAGGAAGCUUUAAAGGAAACGAAAUAUUUGACGGUUACCGAAAACGGAAAUGAACAAAAUCCGGAAAUCGUAAAUUUUCAAAAAUAAAAAAAAUCGGGGCGGGACGAUUUCAGAGGGCGGGGGGAUGAAAAUCUAUCAAUUAAUUUUAAUUGGCCUUAUAAGGAUUCAUCUAUAAAAUAUUACUGUGAGUUCACUGAUUUUGGUGGGUACCAUUUUUCGUGGAUUGAGGAAAAAUUUCAUUUUUGUAAAUAAUUGAUUUCGUAGUUUUGCCAAAGUCUGAAUAUAUUCUGAUAGAAAAUUCAUAAUGCUUGGACAUUGGAAUUCGUGGUUCCCAGGUAACCAUGAAAUCAAUGAAAAUUAGUUUCAAACGAUUAAUAAUGAAUCCACAGUGUGUAAUUCAAUAAAUUACAAUUAAGUUAAAAUGUAUUAUUUGAUUAUGCCAUACCACUUCACUGGCUUCAGAAGACUUAAUACAAGCCCAUUUACCUGUAUUGAUGGAAUGUUUUGCAAUGCUCACUAUUUCCUUACCUGUUUUUGCUUAAUUUUAAGGUAUAUUUGGAUGGUAGUAAUAUUAUGAAACUCUACAGGGUAGCAUGGUAGAUGUUAAGUAGAUUAGUUUUUUACUGGUUCAACAAGCUUUGACAGAAGGCACUUUGCUAGGUACGUUUCAAUUGUACUUGUGUUUUUUUACUUCCUCUGCUUUUAUGUUUUUUGUCAUUUGACAACUACAGGUAUUUUUUUGAUAACUCAACUUUUGUCUGUCACAUCUUUCUGAUACUUUUAUACUCUUUUAAGGUUUAUAUAUAUUCCAGCAUCGUUUUAUUUUGUUAUUUUUUUUUCUAGAAUCCCCUUCCAGGGAUAUGGAACUUUUAAGAGUCCACUUUAGUAAACAUAUAAAUCGGUAGUGAGUCUGAAGUGCUACAUCAGAGCUGAUUAUUUUUCAGUCACUGAUAGUACUGUUUAUAAUUUUAUGUUUUAAAUUAUGGAUUAUAGAUUAUUAUAUGUUGGGGAAGAUCAUUUUGCUACAUGGUAAAGAAAUGAGGAUUGUAAUAUGUGAGUUUUUCUAAAUAUGAUUUAGUUAAAUUGACAUGAAUGCUUUAGAAGAAAAUUUAAUGGAAGCAAAAAGUAUAAACAUAAUAAAGGGUUUGAUAUGAGUAAUCUCUUUUAUAUAUAUAGUCAUCCUCAUAAAAACAAAACAGGAGAAAAAAAUAUAUGACAGGAUUAGUUUCUCCUAAACAAGACAACUCUUACUGAAAUAAAGGGGUAUAACUCUGUACUUUAUGGACACUUAGCUCAUUUUUACAGGAUCCCUAGUAUUCUUCUAACAUCUCAAUUAUUUAAGGGAUUUUAGUACAUUCCAUUAUUGAUUUAAUUACUAGAUUUGCAGAUUGUUUUGUUACUAGUGCACAUUCAAGUAAACAUUUACUAUUGUUUUAACUCAAGUGAUGUUGGUAAAACAUAUAACAUGCUCAUCUCAAUAAACAUUAUCACCACUUCAAAUUUUAUCACUAUUGACCAGAUAGUAGCUAUUUAUCUGAUGCCAAUUUUGCACACAGAAAGUGUCUAAAAGAAGAUCACUCACUUUGCCCUGCAUUGUAAAAAAAAAAAAAAAUCAGUAAAUGAAAAGUAUACCCCCAUUGGAAAUCAUCCAUAACAAAGUGUUUUUUUUAUAUACAAAAUGUUUGGGACUACAGGGUCCUUUGAGGUAUUGGAAGUUUUAUAAUCUGUUUGUCUUACCUGCAAGGAAAGACGCAAUACUUGACACUAAGCUGUCAGGAAGGGCAGUAAUUAAUUGUAUAAAGCUUUAUUAUUUAUUAAUGUAGAAAAGCUAGACCUCCAUAUUUUGAAAAAAGGUGUUCUGAAGUUUUGUCCGUCAUGUCAUAUACCUUUAACCUAAUUUUCAUGGUUGGUUCAGUGACGUUUGUUUAUUUUUUCAUAGACUGUUUCAAGUAACUAUGAGAAAGUGGUCAACCAUAAUUAGUGUACCAAUUCAUUGUAAGGUAUACAUGUAAAAAGAAAGUUUUACUUUAGACUUGCUUUUAGCUGCUACUUAAUCAGUAAUGCAUUGUUACAGUAAGAUCUGCAUUCAUGUCCACCCUUAUUGUUUCAUUCCUUAUUUAAAACUAAAACUUCUUACCUGAAAAUAAAUUUAUUUUUAUAAGAACAGGGUAUGUAUUAUACCUGUCCAUUCCUUUUUUUAUCAUAUAUAUAUGAUUCCUGAGAAAUAACUAUGAAACCAUGA
rnacentral:lncRNA from 1 species